GACGAACGCUGGCGGCGUGCUUAACACAUGCAAGUCGAGCGAACUGAUUAGAAGCUUGCUUCUAUGACGUUAGCGGCGGACGGGUGAGUAACACGUGGGCAACCUGCCUGUAAGACUGGGAUAACUUCGGGAAACCGAAGCUAAUACCGGAUAGGAUCUUCUCCUUCAUGGGAGAUGAUUGAAAGAUGGUUUCGGCUAUCACUUACAGAUGGGACCGCGGUGAAUUAGCUAGUUGGUGAGGUAACGGCUCACCAGGGCAACGAUGCAUAGCCGACCUGGGAGGGUGAUCGGCCACACUGGGAAUGAGACACGGCCCAGACUCCUACGGGAGGCAGCAGUAGGGAAUCUUCCGCAAUGGACGAAAGUCUGACGGAGCAACGCCGCGUGAGUGAUGAAGGCUCUCGGGUCGUAAAACUCUGUUGUUAGGGAAGAACAAGUACGAGAGUAGCUGCUUAGGUAGUGACGGUAUUUAACCAGAAAGCCACGGCUAACUACGUGCCAGCCGCCGCAGUAA
rnacentral:rRNA from 1 species